rnacentral:snRNA from 1 species
GGAUGUGAGGGUGAUCUGACUGAGACAUGUGUCACCCCAUUGAUCAUCAUGGUUGAUUCUGCUGAUCUGGUUCACUAGGCGGGUGUCCCCUUCCUUCCCCACUGGUCCAUGUGUGUCCCUCCCAAAGCUACACACCCUGUGGAAGAGGACAACCACCCCCGACAGAGGAGGACAGGACCAUGUCCUCAGGCAAAGGUAUAGGAGUAUGUGGUUCCCCUGUCUGAACCUCCAAACAAGCUCUCAAUAAUUAUUUUUUCUCUUUGUCAUUGUCUUACUAAACCCUAGAGAUGUUUACAUCUAUCAACAUCUUUUUAUCAAAAAUUAUUU